AGAGUUUGAUCAUGGCUCAGAAUCAACGCUGGCGGCGUGCCUAACACAUGCAAGUCGAACGAGAAAGGGUAGCAAUACCUGAGUAAAGUGGCGCACGGGUGAGUAACACGUGACUAACCUACCCUGGAGUGGGGGAUAACUGAGGGAAACCUUAGCUAAUACCGCAUAACACCUACGGGUCAAAGGAGCAAUUCGCUUCAGGAGGGGGUCGCGGCCGAUUAGUUAGUUGGCGGGGUAAUGGCCCACCAAGACUGUGAUCGGUAUCCGGCCUGAGAGGGCGCACGGACACACUGGAACUGAAACACGGUCCAGACUCCUACGGGAGGCAGCAGUGGGGAAUUUUGCGCAAUGGGGGAAACCCUGACGCAGCAACGCCGCGUGGAGGAUGAAGUACUUCGGUACGUAAACUCCUUUCGAUCGGGACGAUUAUGACGGUACCGGAAGAAGAAGCCCCGGCUAACUUCGUGCCAGCAGCCGCGGUAAUACGAGGGGGGCAAGCGUUGUUCGGAAUUAUUGGGCGUAAAGGGUGCGUAGGCGGUUUUGUAAGUCUUGUGUGAAAUCUUCAGGCUCAACUUGAAGACUGCACGAGAAACUGCAGGGCUUGAGUGUGGGAGAGGUGAGUGGAAUUCCUGGUGUAGCGGUGAAAUGCGUAGAUAUCAGGAGGAACACCUGUGGCGAAAGCGGCUCACUGGACCACAACUGACGCUGAUGCACGAAAGCUAGGGGAGCAAACAGGAUUAGAUACCCUAGUAGUCC
rnacentral:rRNA from 1 species